UACAGAGGUCCCAAGCGUUGUUCGGAUUCACUGGGCGUAAAGGGUGCGUAGGUGGCGGGGUAAGUCGGAUGUGAAAGCUCGGAGCUCAACUCCGAAAUGGCAUUGGAAACUACCUUGCUCGAGGGUUGGAGGGGGGACUGGAAUGCUUGGUGUAGCAGUGAAAUGCGUAGAUAUCAAGCGGAACACCAGUGGCGAAGGCGAGUCCCUGGACAACUCCUGACACUGAGGCACGAAAGCUAGGGGAGCAAACAGG
rnacentral:rRNA from 1 species